UACGAAGGGGGCUAGCGUUGCUCGGAAUCACUGGGCGUAAAGCGCACGUAGGCGGCUUCUUAAGUCAGGGGUGAAAUCCUGGAGCUCAACUCCAGAACUGCCUUUGAUACUGAGAAGCUCGAGUCCGGGAGAGGUGAGUGGAACUGCGAGUGUAGAGGUGAAAUUCGUAGAUAUUCGCAAGAACACCAGUGGCGAAGGCGGCUCACUGGCCCGGUACUGACGCUGAGGUGCGAAAGCGUGGGGAGCAAACA
rnacentral:rRNA from 1 species